rnacentral:rRNA from 1 species
GAUGAACGCUAGCGGCAGGCCUAACACAUGCAAGUCGAACGGUAACAGAGGAGCUUGCUCUUGCUGACGAGUGGCGAACGGGUGCGUAACGCGUAUACAACUUGCCUAUAACUGGGAGAUAGCCCAUGGAAACGUGGAUUAAUACCCCAUAACACUACAGAUUCGCAUGUUUUUGUAGUUAAAGCUUUUGCGGUUAUAGAUGGGUAUGCGUGACAUUAGCUAGUUGGUAAGGUAACGGCUUACCAAGGCCACGAUGUCUAGGGGGCCUGAGAGGGUGAUCCCCCACACUGGUACUGAGACACGGACCAG